rnacentral:rRNA from 1 species
UACGUAGGGUGCAAGCGUUAAUCGGAAUUACUGGGCGUAAAGCGUGCGCAGGCGGUUCCGCAAGUCAGAUGUGAAAUCCCCGGGCUCAACCUGGGAACUGCAUUUGAAACUACGGGGCUAGAGUGUGUCAGAGGGGGGGUGGGAAUUCCACGUGUAGCAGUGAAAUGCGUAGAGAUGUGGAGGAACACCAAUGGCGAAGGCAGCACUCUGGGACGUGACUGACGCUGAGACGCGAAAGCGUGGGGAGCAAACAGG